GAUGGACCCGCGUCUGAUUAGCCAGUUGGCAGGGUAACGGCCUACCAAAGCGACGAUCAGUAGCCGAUCUGAGAGGAUGUACGGCCACAUUGGGACUGAGACACGGCCCAGACUCCUACGGGAGGCAGCAGUGGGGAAUAUUGCACAAUGGAGGAAACUCUGAUGCAGCGACGCCGCGUGAGUGAAGAAGUAUUUCGGUAUGUAAAGCUCUAUCAGCAGGGAAGAAAAUGACGGUACCUGACUAAGAAGCACCGGCUAAAUACGUGCCAGCAGCCGCGGUAAUACGUAUGGUGCAAGCGUUAUCCGGAUUUACUGGGUGUAAAGGGAGCGUAGGUGGCAAGGCAAGCCAGAAGUGAAAACCCGGGGCUCAACCGCGGGAUUGCUUUUGGAACUGUCAUGCUAGAGUGCAGGAGGGGUGAGCGGAAUUCCUAGUGUAGCGGUGAAAUGCGUAGAUAUUAGGAGGAACACCGGAGGCGAAGGCGGCUCACUGGACUGUAACUGACACUGAGGCUCGAAAGCGUGGGGAGCAAACAGGAUUAGAUACCCUGGUAGUCCACGCGGUAAACGAUGAAUACUAGAUGUCGGGGAGCAUAGCUUCUCGGUGUCGUCGCAAACGCAAUAAGUAUUCCACCUGGGGAGUACGUUCGCAAGAAUGAAACUCAAAGGAAUUGACGGGGACCCCGCACAAGCGGUGGAGCAUGUGGUUU
rnacentral:rRNA from 1 species